AAGAAAAAAAAACCUUCUCCCCCGCCUCCCCCCGGCGCUUGCCCAGCCCGCCGCGGUGGCCCCCUGCCCCUCGCCCCGCAGCUACCGAGCUCCGUCCCUCCUUCCCAGGACGUUACCCCGAAGGCACCGUUGGGGGGAGCCGUGCGGUUUCCGACUUUCGCAACGAAUCGGCCGCUGAGCGAAACGCGGCCCGAAGCCGCCUCCGCGGCCCCGCUCCCCUCGCCGCCCGCAGCCACCGGCGCCGGCCAGGCCCUCCCGCUGCCCCCCCGGCUGUACGCUCCCGGAGCGGGCGGGCCUGCGGGCGGGCCUGCUCCCGGAGCAGCCGCCGCCGCCCCGGCCUGUCGAUAUGAAUUACUCCCGGUUCAUCACCACUGUGAGUGCAUCAAGAAAAGCAUCACCAAUAAGACUUCUGACUGAAUUGAUGCAGAAGUCUCCUCCAUCUCUCAUCUCUCUGGCUGGAGGAGCACCAAACCCUAAUGUUUUCCCAUUUAAGAGAGCUACUGUUGCCAUUGGACAUGGAACUGCUGUUGAGAUUGGGGAAGAUCUGAUGAAGAGAGCUCUCCAAUACUCAGCCUCUGCAGGCAUUCCAGAGCUGUUGUCUUGGCUAAAGGAUUUCCAGCGGAAUCUACAUAAUCCCCCCACAGCCAACUACAGUCCUGAGCAAGGACAAAUGGAAGUGUGUGUCACAACUGGCAGCCAGGAAGGCUUGUGUAAGGUGUUUGAAAUGCUCAUUAACCCUGGGGACAACAUCCUUUUGGAUGCACCUACAUACUCUGGGACACUAGCAGCUCUGAGACCUUUGGGUUGUAACAUAAUUAAUGUUCCUAGUGACCAACAUGGCAUUAUUCCAAAAGCUCUAAAAGAAAUUCUGUCUACUUGGAGCUCAGAAGACGUGAAAAAUCGGAGCCACCACCUCCCCAAAUUCCUGUACACUAUUCCAAAUGGCUGCAACCCAACUGGAAACUCUCUGACCGCAGAGCGCAAGAAGGAGAUUUACCAGCUUGCAAGAAAAUAUGAUUUCCUCAUAAUAGAAGAUGAUCCUUACUACUUUCUUCAGUUUGAAAAGCCAUGGGUUCCAACUUUCCUCUCAAUGGAUGUGGAUGGCCGAGUUAUCAGGACCGACUCUUUCUCUAAAAUUCUCUCAUCUGGGUUAAGAAUAGGUUUUCUAACAGGUCCCAAGCCUCUUAUCGACAGAGUUAUUCUACACAUUCAGGUUUCAACAAUGCACACCAGCACUUUCACACAGAUUAUGAUAUCACAGCUGCUUCAGCAAUGGGGAGAAAAGGGUUUCUUGGAGCAUAUAGACAGAGUGGUGAAGUUCUACCGGACACAGCGGGAUGCAAUGCUCAUUGCUGCUGACAAGUGGUUAAAAGGUGUUACUGGUUCCUGGAGGAGCAUUCAAUAUCAAUAGUUCAGAGCCUAGCUCUUAUGUCAGAGCCUCCUUCUCUCUGUCUUCUCCAGCCCAGAUGGAUCUGGCCUUCAAGAGACUGGCUGACCUUAUAAAAGAAGCUUUGUGAAAAAGUUAAGUAGAAUUCUUGCAGCAAUCAAAAUCAUCUCCAGAAAAUACUUACUAACAUUGGGAUUUUAUCGUAACACUUUAAAAGCAAGCACAGUACAGUGGAUGUUUCCUUAAAUCGUUUCAGCUAAAAAAGCAAAAAUUGAAAGAGUGAAAAUCAAUUUGCUUAUUUUUUUUGACAUUGCAUUAUUAAAUUUAUAUCAAUUCAGAAACAUUUCAAAUACUCAAAACCGAAAUGCCCUGUUUCCUGUCAAAUGCAUGGUUUUGUUAGAUUUGAAUUGAUUUUUGUUCUUGCUUUUGUUUUCCAUUUGGGUUGGGAAGCAGGGAAGUCAAUUGCUUACUUAGGAAGUUGCACCUGAGUUGGUUUUACCACUAUUACCUAAUCCCAACCGAUACAUUCCUCCCACACCUUACGUUGGAAUUGUUUUUGUCUGUCACUUCUUAUCCCCCUGUACGGCAUCUAGUUUUGAAGGUUUGAAGAUUGGUAUUUAAUUUUACUGAAGUUUUGUCAGAUAAAGCUGAUGUAAGGAUGUUAAAAAAUUGAAACUGAUCCAGCAAAAUGAGGCUACAAUUACAAAUAAAGCUGUUUGGCCUAAGGUGCCUUGCAAUUUGCAUGGGUUCUGCAGCUCAUUCUCUCGUUUGUAAAAGGUUUUCUGAUUGAUGGCUUCCACUUCAGUCGGUGAAUAAUUACCCUGUACCUGUGUUAGAAAAAUCUCUGGUUUGUAAAGGCAUGUGGGUGUGCUAAUAGAAUUGCCCUCUGCUCAUAGUCAAUCAGACAUGUUUUUGAGUGGAGGGUGUAAGUAACUGCACAGGGGAUGUAGUGGAACGGGCAAUACCCUGACGCUGCCAGAUGUACAAAGCAAGCAAAAUGAAAAAAUAAAGAAAUGUUUUGAUCUCUAA